UCGGCCCACGGCCUCUCCUGGGUAAGGAAUCCGAGAGGCACGCCCACCGCUCUGCUCCAGGAUGGAGGUUGGCAGUCGUUUGAGGCGCGAGCUUUCUGCGCCUAGUUAACAGGCUGAGUCCGCGGCGGGUCGAGAAUGGCCACGUGCUGUGGCGUGCAUGGCCGAAAGCAUAGUCUUCCCGCCCUCCUGGCUCUCUGGGCUUAGGUGUCAGUGCUUGCUUUCAUAUAGAUUGUCACUUCUUGUAAGCCACAGCCACCACCACCGUAAUCAAAACAUGGGACUACAGUCUCACUACAUAAGGAUUGCAUCUACAUCCUCAAAUUAGGACACAAAUACUGCUCUGCUAAGUGGAGUGGGGAUUAAAAGAAAUGAGUGACCAAGAACUAAUUCAGCCUGGGUGUGGAAGAACGGUGAUGGUGAUGCUAUUUACCCAAAGGAGAUGAAAUUCUCAAUCUUCCACCUCGGAGCCAUCUGCUUGGAAGCCACUGUUCUGGGGACAGCCUACAAAUUUAAGUUCCAUGAUGGGAGGAACCUGGUCUGAUUUUGCCAGGAUCUAGAUGGUGGCAUGAACUUGACAGUAAAUGUUUGUUGGAUGAAUAAAUAAGGUAGCGGCUUUCUUUCAUUUUAUUUAAUCAUCAAAACAAUCCCAAAAUUUUACUCUCAUUGUACAGAUGAGGAAACUGAGGCCUUGAUAUGUCAGACAUAUAUGUAAUAUCGUAACUUGCCUAGACUCACGAAUUCCAGCACAGGAUAUAUUUGAACCCACACCUUUCUAACUGCAAUGCCCAUUUUCUUUGGAUAUGGGGAAUACUUCAGUAGGUUUUGAUGGACAACUUUAGGUAAUGGGUUCUUAACCUUUUUGAUGUUUUGGGCCCCCCUGGUAGUGUGGCCCAUGGACUAGUCUCAGAAUAAUUUUUUUGGAGUGUAUAAAAUAAAACAUGUAAGAUUACAAAAUAAAUCAAUUCGAUUGAAAUAGUUAUCAAAAUUAAAAAAAAUUAUGCUAUAGUGUUACAUGUGCUUCUUUACUACCAUAUAAAGUAACAAGAUCAGCAUCAAAGCUUAGAAUAAUCAUAACUUCUUUUCUUUUUUUUCUUUUUUAAAAAGAUUUUAUUUAUUGUUGAGAGAGAGAGAAGGAGUGCGUGUGCAUGCACGCAAAAGUAGGCAGAGCAGCAGGCAGAGGGAGAGGGAGAAGUAGACUCCCCGCUGAGCUGAGCAGGGAGCCCAGCAGAUGCUUAACCAUUGAGCCACCCAGGUGCCCCAAUGAUCAUAAUUUCUAAAUGGAGAUGAAUACACAUGCAAUUUUGAAAUAUCUAUCAUG